CUACGGGGGGCUGCAGUGGGGAAUUUUGGACAAUGGGCGAAAGCCUGAUCCAGCCAUUCCGCGUGAGUGAUGAAGGCCUUCGGGUUGUAAAGCUCUUUCGGCCGGGAAGAAAUCGUGCAGGCUAAUAUCCUGCAUGGAUGACGGUACCGGAUCAAGAAGCACCGGCUAACUACGUGCCAGCAGCCGCGGUAAUACGUAGGGUGCGAGCGUUAAUCGGAAUUACUGGGCGUAAAGCGUGCGCAGGCGGAUGUUUAAGCCAGAUGUGAAAUCCCCGGGCUUAACCUGGGAAUGGCAUUUGGAACUGGACAUCUAGAGUGUGUCAGAGGGGGGUGGAAUUCCACGUGUAGCAGUGAAAUGCGUAGAGAUGUGGAGGAACACCGAUGGCGAAGGCAGCCCCCUGGGAUAACACUGACGCUCAUGCACGAAAGCGUGGGGAGCAAACAGGAUUAGAUACCCCUGUAGUC
rnacentral:rRNA from 1 species